AGCUUUAUAGUCAAUUAAUGAUAUAAAAUUGCAAAUUUUAAGGGGUAAAAUUUUACUAAGGCUU
rnacentral:tRNA from 2 species